AUUGAACGCUGGCGGCAUGCCUUACACAUGCAAGUCGAACGGCAGCACGGGAGCAAUCCUGGUGGCGAGUGGCGAACGGGUGAGUAAUAUAUCGGAACGUGCCCAGUAGUGGGGGAUAACUGCUCGAAAGAGCAGCUAAUACCGCAUACGACCUGAGGGUGAAAGGGGGGGAUCGCAAGACCUCUCGCUAUUGGAGCGGCCGAUAUCAGGUUAGCUAGUUGGUGGGGUAAAGGCCUACCAAGGCAACGAUCUGUGGUUGGUCUGAGAGGACGACCAGCCACACUGGGACGGAGACACGGCCCAGACUCCUACGAGAGGCGGCAGUGGGGAAUUUUGGACAAUGGGCGCAAGCCUGAUCCAGCAAUGCCGCGUGCAGGAAGAAGGCCUUCGGGUUGUAAACUGCUUUUGUCAGGGAAGAAAUCCUCUAGGUUAAUACCCUUGGGGGGAUGACGGUACCUGAAGAAUAAGCACCGGCUAACUACGUGCCAGCCGCCGCCGUAAUAC
rnacentral:rRNA from 1 species